GGGGCUGUGGCGCAGUGGUAGCGCGUUCGCUUUGCAUGCGAAAGGUCUUGGGUUCGAUACCCAACUGCUCCA